UACGGGGGGGGCAAGCGUUAAUCGGAAUUACUGGGCGUAAAGCGUGCGCAGGCGGUUUUGUAAGUCUGUCGUGAAAUCCCCGGGCUCAACCUGGGAAUUGCGAUGGAGACUGCAAGGCUAGAAUCUGGCAGAGGGGGGUAGAAUUCCACGUGUAGCAGUGAAAUGCGUAGAUAUCGAUCGGAACACCCAUGGCGAAGGCAGCUCGCUGGCCUGUAACUGACGCUGAGACGCGAAAGCGUGGGGAGCAAACAGG
rnacentral:rRNA from 1 species